CAAUCCCUGCGUGACUGGCGAUAGGGUUCCGAAGUGGCGGCUGCAAGCCGGCUAUUGGGGACUCAAGGUGGAACGACCCACCGUGAAGCGCAGGGUGCCGUUUUGCCGUUCGCCUGGGCAGCCGAU
rnacentral:ncRNA from 1 species